rnacentral:rRNA from 1 species
UACGUAGGGUGCAAGCGUUAAUCGGAAUUACUGGGCGUAAAGCGUGCGCAGGCGGUUUUGUAAGUCUGUCGUGAAAUCCCCGGGCUCAACCUGGGAAUUGCGAUGGAGACUGCAAGGCUAGAAUCUGGCAGAGGGGGGUAGAAUUCCACGUGUAGCAGUGAAAUGCGUAGAGAUGUGGAGGAACACCGAUGGCGAAGGCAGCCCCCUGGGUCAAGAUUGACGCUCAUGCACGAAAGCGUGGGGAGCAAACAGGAUUAGAGUAC